rnacentral:tRNA from 1 species
AAGAGGUGUAUGAACAACCAGAGCUGCUAACUCGA